AUGGACUCACAUGCUCCCGUGUGUGCACAUACCCAUGCAUGGAUGGACUCACACAUGCUCUCGAGUGUGCACACACACAUGGAUGAUGCACACACGCUCUCACGUGCACACACAUGGAUGGACUCACACAUGCUCUCGAGUGUGCACACACACAUGGAUGAUGCACACACGCUCUCACGUGCACACACAGAUGAACUCACACAUGCUCUCACGUGCACACACAUGGAUGGACUCACACAUGCUCUCGUGUGUGCACACACACAUGGAUGGAUGUACACACGCUCUCACGUGCACACACACACAGAUGGACGCACAUAUGCUCUCACGUGCACACACAUGCUCUCAAGUGCACACACAGAUGAACUCACACAUGCUCUCACGUGCACACACACAUGGAUGGACGCACACACGCUCUCACAUGCACACACACACAGAUGGACUCACACAUGCUCUCGAGUGUGCACACACACAUGGAUGGACGCACACAUGCUCUCACAUGCACACACACGGAUGGACUCACACAUGCUCUCGAGUGUGCACACACACAUGGAUGGACGUACACAUGCUCUCACAUGCACACACACACAUGGAUGGACUCACACAUGCUCUCGAGUGUGCACACACACAUGGAUGGACGCACACAUGCUCUCACAUGCACACACACGGAUGGACUCACACAUGCUCUCGAGUGUGCACACACACAUGGAUGGACUCACACAUGCUCUCAAGUGUGCACACACACAUGGAUGGACACACACACACUCUCACAUGCACACACAUGCACACACACACAUGGGAAACCUCAUGUGUUCAGCGCCAGGGUCCUGUGCUUUGUUGUGGAAAUGGUUGGAGGCAGCCCCAGCGUGCAUGAGAGGCACCGUCUGGCGUCGCGGCGCGGUGUGGCUGGGCGGUGGGGCUCCGUGCGUGGCGGUGCGGCCACGUCAGAUGGUGCUGUCCCAGAGCUCGGAGGGCAACCUGUGGCAGGGGCCCCCUUCUGGCUUCUUCACAAGGGUCGGCUUCUUGCAGGGCGGCGGGGGAGGCGCCCUGGGCUCGGCGGGGUGCAGGAUCUGCUGCCACUCCUCUGCCUCCUCACAGAGCUUCCGCCUCCAGUCCAGCAGCUCCUGCAGGGCCACGCUCUCGUUCUCCGAGAGCCGCAGCUGGUGGAUGACCUGCGGGAGGAAGACGGAGGAGAGCAGCAGUGAGUGCGGCGUGCAGCAGAAACACGCGGGGAACAGGGGCCCCGCUGGGGGCCCAGAACGGGCUCUCUGCAGAGCUCCAGGUGGGACAGCCCCUGGGGAACCCCUGAAUGAAGACCAGUGGAACAGAACGCCAAGGGCAGCCCCUCAUCCCCUCAGUGCACACACAAGUGCUUCCAAGCAGUGA
rnacentral:lncRNA from 1 species